AGUGAGGUCGGCAGCCGGAAUGUAACAUCACCCAGGCCCGGCAUCACUACCAGCCGCAGGUCGGGGCUGUACAGGAAGAGGACAAUGUAAACCCAGCAGCCCCCUGGAACUCAACAAGAGAGUUGUCCAUUCCAGCUCUCCCAGGAAAAGGUAGGGAGGCUGGGCGGCUCUCAUUAAAUAAAUAAAUAAAAACGUGUGUGUGUGUAAAUGUCUGUGACUAUAUUUGCACGUGUGUGUUUGUAUUUUCUGAAUGUGCACGUAUUUGUGUCUGAGAAUGUGUGUGUUUAUCUGAAUGUGCAUGUAUUUGUGUUUGUUUGAAUGUGUAUGUAUUGGUGUCUGAGAAUGUGUGUGUUUAGUAGAUAGCACCCUAUUUAUGCCCUGGGGAGAUAGCGCAGCUAAGCGGACAAGGGCACAUGUAGGAGUGUGGGGAUAGAUGCGUGGGAGUGUCUUGGGAAGUGUGUGUGUGUUGGGUUUGAGCUAUGUGAGCUAGUAGGGGGGAGGUCUUCCCUCAGUGCCACUUGGGAUUCGGGCCAGCAAACAGCUUCCUGCCAGCCCACCCCUUGUUGUAUUAGUUAGUCACAGCGAGCCGGGGGUAUGUCCUUGCCAAUUAAGUUUAAGGGGUUAUGUUUAAGGAUGGAGUAAUUUUUAUUAUGUUUGCAGGUCUCAACCUCCCCUGCUUCAAAGGGUUAACCAUAGGUUGCCUGAGGUGUCGUGCCCAUCGAGCGUGGAUAAGGUCGGCUGAUGGCGGGCAUUGAAAGGAUUUUUUAUGACGAGGGGGAGGUGAGAGGAAGUGGUGAUUAGGAACCACUGUAUGUUUAUUGGCAAGGACGGUUGGGUCACUGUAUAACACUAUGGGUGGAGUUAUAUAUGUAUAUAUGUUAAUUUAUGCUUAUUUAUGUCUAACAAUUUGGUUACAGAAAGAAGAGAUUUAAUAAAUAAAGUUAUGGAUGUGUUAUGCAGUAAUUUAGUUUGUGAUAAUAAAUGAUGUGGCCUGUUUCAUCCAUACUAAGUGGUCUGUCGUUAUUGGGGGAUUGAAUGGGGUUAGUUCUGUACUAGGCUGCAUUGCGAUUCCCCACUACGUACGUACAUGAUUUCCAGUAAUAUGGCAAUCCCACAGAAGGAUAGCAAAUUAGGGAGUUAUUUAUUAUAUUAAUUUCGCUAUAGAUAAAUGGUCCUUUGUCCUUUUACACAGAUGGCAUUCGGCCCUCAUGUGGAAAUCCCUGUUUUAAACAGUGUUUGAAGGAUUGUGGCCAGGGUGGUACACUGCCACCCUCCCCAUGUGUUCCCUAUUAAUUGUUAAUUACUUUGUAGGAGUAAAUGAAAUACCCCUUCCUGUCUCAUUAAAGAUUUUGCCUUUUAGCCAAAAGCAGCAAGUUGUUGUUAGUGUAGAACUCACAUACGAGGGUUUCCUUGAUGUGGCAGGUGAGCUUACACGUUAAUUGCAAUUGGAGUGAAAAUAAAAACCUUUAGCUAUUUUAAUGUGCGCAGGGAUUUGGGAUAAUGGGCAGGAAGCGUUUUUUGGUAUUUGGGCUAACAAGUAAUAGACAUUGCUGCUGCCCAAGAGUAGUGGGAGUUUAAAUGUUGGGCUUAAUAUUGUGUGUUUGUAUUUUACUAAUAAUACUAUUGAUGUCAGCAUGUGGUGCAGGUCAGAUAUAGGAUGAUGGACCGUAUAAAACACAGUCACAGCUACGGCACACGCUACAGAAUGAACCCGUUAUAAAGUAUACAUGAAUAAUGUUCUGCAAAGAUCUACACUAAUUGUGGAUACAAAUCUCUGUUGGGCCCACAAGAAACUCAUUACACAGGAGCACAAUGUGCAAUGGACCUCAGGGGCCCAUCUGUGAAUAGUCACUGGAUCCAUUUUUAAAUUAUCCCUUCCACCAUUCCAUAUUUAAUGACUAUAUGUACUAAGAACAGACAGUGUAGAAAUGCAAGCGCCGUGCCUGACUAUUGUUCUGGUUAUUCUCCCAUAGAAUCAUGGGAAUCUUCAUCGCCCUGAGUUUGUUCCUCUCCAUUCUGGUCACCGUCACCCUCCUCCUCUCAUACUGGAAGCAGACGAAGAUGGCAAACCAGCUACCCCCAGGACCACCUCCACUGCCCCUGCUGGGAAAUCCCAGUUAUGUGACCAAGGAGGGAGCUUGUAAAUAUUAUCCUGAGGUAGGUACUACUGACUGUAAAUACUGCACUGGGGUAGGUACUACUG